GUGACCUAUAAAGAUUUGGAAACGAGCCUGUUAAUCAGGACCAGAUUGUGACACAAAUCGACGAACAGGGAGAAUGUUGCAGCUUUUCGUAGCAGGUCUGGUGGCGGCAGCCGUUAUUGUCGAGUCUGCCGAUGUGUGCCCGACUGACCCCCCGGGCCUGGUGUAUGCGUGUGCCAAUAGGCCACAGUGUUUGGGGGACAGGUCCUGCGGGUCAGGUCACAAGUGUUGUCCCCACAUCUGCGGCUCCCGAUGUUUCCAGACAGUCCACUGCGACCCGAUUGACUGCGGUUCACUCACGUGUACCUUCGGC
rnacentral:misc_RNA from 1 species